UACAAAUGAAUUGACGGGGACCCGCACAAGCAGCGGAGCGUGUGGUUUAAUUCGUUGCUACACGAAGAACCUUACCUGGGUUUGACAUAUAGGUUGUAGGGAACUGAAAAGGGACCGACCCUUCGGGGAGCCUAUACAGGUGUUGCAUGGCUGUCGUCAGCUCGUGUCGUGAGAUGUUCGGUUAAGUCCGCUAACGAGCGCAACCCUCGUCGUAUGUUAUAUGUGUCAUACGAGACUGCCGGUAAAAGCCGGAGGAAGGUGAGGAUGAUGUCAAGUCAGCAUGACCUUUAUAUCCAGGGCUACACACACGCUACAAUGGUCUGUACAAUGGGUAGCCAAGCCGCGAGGCGGAGCCAAUCCUGAAAGCAGGCCUCAGUUCAGAUUGCAGUCUGCAACUCGACUGCAUGAAGCCGGAGUUGCUAGUAACCGCAGGUCAGCAAUACUGCGGUGAAUACGUUCCCGGGUCUU
rnacentral:rRNA from 1 species